AGCGAACGCUGGCGGCAGGCCUAACACAUGCAAGUCGAACGAACUCUUCGGAGUUAGUGGCGGACGGGUGAGUAACACGUGGGAACGUGCCUUUAGGUUCGGAAUAAUUCAGGGAAACUUGUGCUAAUACCGAAUGUGCCCUUCGGGGGAAAGAUUUAUCGCCUUUAGAGCGGCCCGCGUCUGAUUAGCUAGUUGGUGAGGUAAAGGCUCACCAAGGCGACGAUCAGUAGCUGGUCUGAGAGGAUGAUCAGCCACAUUGGGACUGAGACACGGCCCAAACUCCUACGGGAGGCAGCAGUGGGGAAUCUUGCGCAAUGGGCGAAAGCCUGACGCAGCCAUGCCGCGUGAAUGAUGAAGGUCUUAGGAUUGUAAAAUUCUUUCACCGGGGACGAUAAUGACGGUACCCGGAGAAGAAGCCCGGCUAACUUCGUGCCAGCAGCCGCGGUAAU
rnacentral:rRNA from 1 species